CUGCUGCUUCACAGGCAGGAUCUCACCCCUGGGGACUCUAACCAGAAGCUGAGGGGUGACCUGAGUCGUGUUCUCUUCCAAAGAAUCCUGGGACAGCAGAUGAGACAUGGCCUGGCUGGCUUCCUGGUUUAGCCAUAGUCCACAUGCUCUACAGAAGCGCUGCAGAAGAGACAGACCUGGCCAGGCGGGAGUGAAGCUUCUGAAGACACCUACUGUGUGCUAGACACUUGAGGUACAAAAGUGAGGAAGGCGGUCAGUGGGGAGUCUGGCCUGGGUCCUGAGAACAGCUGGGAGGAAAUGUGGCUGCCAUGGGUCCUAUUGAGCAUCCUUCUGGGGACACCAGCUGUGUUUCUUGAUGCCUCUGAGGAAAUGGAGCUGGAGCCCUGCCUAGCCCCGGCCCUGGAGCGGCAAGAUCAGGUGUUGACUGUGGCCGUAGGGCAGCCUGUGCGACAGUGCUGUAGACGUACUGAGCGUGGUGGUCAUUGGUACAAGGAGGGCAGGCGCUUAGCGUCUGCUGGACGAGCACGGGGCUGGAGGGGCCGCCUGGAG
rnacentral:lncRNA from 1 species